GUGGAAGUCCGGCUGGCGUUGUUGAAGUCCGACUGACGCUAUUGAAGGUUGAUGGCUGGAGAGGUACGGAAGACACUGGAGGCGGUCAGCCGUUGUAGAAAUCUAGCUGCUGGAGCCCAUCCGUUGUAGAAGUUCGUCCAGAAUCCAUCCGCUAUGGAAGUUCAGACGGAGUCCGGUUCUUAUAGAAGUCCGGAUGGAGACCGCUUAUCGAAGAAGCUCGGCUGAAAUCCAUCUGUAAUAGAAGUUCGGAAGGAAUUUGUUUACAGUAGAAGCUCGGAUGGAAUUCGCUUACAGUUG
rnacentral:lncRNA from 1 species